GCCAGGCACAGUGGUGCACGCCUGUAAACCCAGCACUUCGGGAGGCUGAGGCGGGAGGAUUGCUUAAGCCCAGGAGUUCAAGACCAGUCCUGGCAAUAUAGCAAGACCCUGUCUCUACAAAAUACUACAAUUAGCUGGGUGUGGUGGUGCAUACCUGUAGUCCCAGCUACUCGGGAGGCUGAGGUGGGAGGAUUGCUUGACCCUGGGNNNNNNNNNNCCUCCCGAGUAGCUGGGACUACAGGUAUGCACCACCAUACCCAGCUAAUUUUAUUUUUUUGUAGAGACAGGGUCUUGCUAUAUUGCCAGGACUGGUCUUGAACUCCUGGGCUUAAGCAAUCCUCCCGCCUCAG
rnacentral:SRP_RNA from 1 species